rnacentral:misc_RNA from 1 species
AAGGAUCAUUAUCAAUAUCAGCGGACUUCGGUCCCUGCUAUACCCUUGUCUUUUGCGUACCACACGUUUCCUCGGCGGGCUUGCCUGCCGAUAGGACAACCAUAAACCCUUUGUAGUUGCAAUCAGCGUCAGAAAAAAACAAUCGUUAAAACUUUCAACAACGGAUCUCUUGGUUCUG